AUGGAACAAUGUAGGCAAGGGAAGUCGGCAAAACGGAUCCGUAACUUCGGGAAAAGGAUUGGCUCUGAGGACUGGGCUCGGGGGUCCCGGCCCCGAACCCGUCGGCUGUCGGCGGAUUGCUCGAGCUGCUCACGCGGCGAGAGCGGGUCGCCGCGUGCCGGCCGGGGGACGGACCGGGAAUCGCCCCUUCGGGGGCUUUCCCCGAGCAUGAAACAGUCGACUCAGAACUGGUACGGACAAGGGGAAUCCGACUGUUUAAUUAAAACAAAGCAUUGCGAUGGUCCUCGCGGAUGCUGA
rnacentral:rRNA from 1 species